CUACGGGAGGCAGCAGUGGGGAAUAUUGCACAAUGGGCGCAAGCCUGAUGCAGCCAUGCCGCGUGUAUGAAGAAGGCCUUCGGGUUGUAAAGUACUUUCAGCGGGGAGGAAGGGAGUAAAGUUAAUACCUUUGCUCAUUGACGUUACCCGCAGAAGAAGCACCGGCUAACUCCGUGCCAGCAGCCGCGGUAAUACGGAGGGUGCAAGCGUUAAUCGGAAUUACUGGGCGUAAAGCGCACGCAGGCGGUUUGUUAAGUCAGAUGUGAAAUCCCCGGGCUCAACCUGGGAACUGCAUCUGAUACUGGCAAGCUUGAGUCUCGUAGAGGGGGGUAGAAUUCCAGGUGUAGCGGUGAAAUGCGUAGAGAUCUGGAGGAAUACCGGUGGCGAAGGCGGCCCCCUGGACGAAGACUGACGCUCAGGUGCGAAAGCGUGGGAAGCAAACAGGAUUAGAUACCCGCGUAGUC
rnacentral:rRNA from 1 species